rnacentral:rRNA from 1 species
CUGGAACUGAAACACGGUCCAGACUCCUACGGGAGGCAGCAGUGGGGAAUCUUGCGCAAUGGACGAAAGUCUGACGCAGCCACGCCGCGUGAGUGAAGAAGGCCUUCGGGUCGUAAAGCUCUGUCGAACGGGACGAAAAGCAUAACAGUUAAGAGCUGGUAUGCCUGACGGUACCGUUAAAGGAAGCACCGGCUAACUUCCUGCCAGCAGCCCGCGGUAAUACGAGGGGUGCAAGCGUUGCUCGGAAUUAUUGGGCGUAAAGGGUAGGUAGGUGGUCUCAUUUGUCUGGGGUGAAAGCCUUUGAACUUAACUUCAAGAAGUGCCCCCAGAAACGGUGAGACUAKAGCUUU